UACGUAGGGUGCGAGCGUUAAUCGGAAUUACUGGGCGUAAAGUGUGCGCAGGCGGCCGAGCAAGUCGAGUGUGAAAGCCCCGAGCUUAACUUGGGAACUGCGCUCGAAACUACUUGGCUAGAGUGUGGCAGAGGGAGGUGGAAUUCCACGUGUAGCGGUGAAAUGCGUAGAGAUGUGGAGGAACACCGAUGGCGAAGGCAGCCUCCUGGGCCAACACUGACGCUCAUGCACGAAAGCGUGGGUAGCAAACAGG
rnacentral:rRNA from 1 species